rnacentral:rRNA from 1 species
GAGUUUGAUCAUGGCUCAGGAUGAACGCUGGCGGCGUGCUUAACACAUGCAAGUCGAACGAAGCAACUUAUUACGAUCCCUUCRGGGUGACGAUUUGUUGACUGAKUGGCGGACGGGUGAGUAACGCGUGGGUAACCUACCUUGUACAGGGGGAUAACAGUUGGAAACGACUGCUAAUACCGCAUAAGCGCACGGUAUCGCAUGAUACAGUGUGAAAAGUUUUUCGGKAUAAGAUGGACCCGCGUCUGAUUAGCUAGUUGGUGAGGUAACGGCCCACCAAGGCGACGAUCAGUAGCCGACCUGAGAGGGUGACCGGCCACAUUGGGACUGAGACACGGCCCAAACUCCUACGGGAGGCAGCAGUGGGGAAUAUUGCACAAUGGGCGAAAGCCUGAUGCAGCGACGCCGCGUGAGCGAAGAAGUAUUUCGGUAUGUAAAGCUCUAUCARCAGGGAAGAUAAUGACGGUACCUGACUAASAAGCACCGGCUAAAUACGUGCCAGCAGCCGCGGUAAUACGUAUGGUGCAAGCGUUAUCCGGAUUUACUGGGRUGUAAAGGGAGCGUAGGCGGYUUUACAAGUCUGAUGYGAAAGMCCGGGGCUCAACUCCGGUAUU